AAGAUUCUCUUUAAGUUCAAGAGCAGAACGAUAUAUCGCAACUAUCGAAGCUUUGGCAUCACUAGCAGGCAUUAAAAGGCAGCGAGUGUCACACAGUGGGCGAUAGAUCAGCAAUGCCUUGGCAUUGGUAUUGGUGUAAAAGCACAACACACAACGAGAAGCAGCAGCAGCUUCCUUUACCCACAGUACAUGCAAACACACUCUCACCCUCUCCCUCGCACUCUAUCUCUUUCGAAUACAUGCAAUGCAUUUAUAUACUUGCGUGUGAGUGUGAGUGUGUGUGCUUAGUUACUUACUCUUUGGCUGAUGCGCUCGCUCUUGCAUUUCGCUUUAUUGCAUAACAUCCUUGAACUUGAACCGAGGCUGAGGCUGAGCUGAGCUGAGCUUUGGGUCGCUUGGCUGCUCGCCUCUGCCUUUCGUCUUUUGCUUCGGCUGACUCAGCGACACACAAACACACGCAUACACGUGAGCUGUAUAUACAUAUACACAUGCAGCUGCUCCUCCUCCUUCGCUCCACCACUAGCAAGUGCUGCAGUCCACUCAAAAAAAAAAAAUUCACCUCGCCAUUCGGCUCAGCCACAACGACGACGACAACGGCGGCGACGUCGACGUCGACGUCAGCAGCGAAGCCGACGACGUUGGCCUGUGUCUCUAUCGGUUGCUGCUGUGCUUGGCAUUGAAAGCGCGACAAGCGAGCAGUCAACAACGCAACAUCCCCAGCAGUAAAAUAGCCAAAACCAAAAAACAAAUUCAGCCAAAUAAAAUAACCAAAAUAUACAACAGAGAAAUCAGUGUGUUCGCAGGAGCAUAAAAAAAAACCAAUUGCAAUUUUAUAUUAUAGUAAUCAAAAUAAAAAAUGACAUCAACAAUAAGAACAACGCAAUCAAAUUGAAAUUGAAAUUAAAAUUGACAAAACCCGAAAAGCGACUAUAAAACUUAAAAGCAAACAAUAACAAUGCAAAAAUAAUUACAAAUUAAUUGUGCAACAACAACAAUAAUAUAAUUUGAGAAGUGCUCGACAGAAGUGCGCAGCACAAACAAUCGAAAUACAACAACAACAACAACAACAAAAAGAUUGUGCCAACAACAAUAAUGAAUUCCAAUUGUACCUAAAACACACACACACACAUCGAAUAAGUGCAAUUCUUUUGUGUAUUCCCCAAUUUACGGAAGUAACGAAUAAGCUAUGAAAAUUUACAACAAAAAAUUCAAAAGAAAAUGCAAAAUGCAAUUUGUGAAAAAUCUCAACGAAAUAAUUAGGUAAAUAUUAUUGCACAUUUACCUACAUAUGUAUUUUAUAGAGAAUAUUACGUGUCAAACAUGUGAUUCCCGUUCUGCUUUUAUACGAAAACCUAGAGAGAGAAAAAAAUCAAGUACAUAAGUGAAAAUGCAAAAAUGAAGGAAAAUUAUUGCAAAUUGCAUCAUCAUCAUCAGCGGAAUCGGAAAACAGCUUAAGGAUGGACACGAUAAAUAAGUGUGGCCGAAGCACAGCAGCGUCAGCAUGGAAAUUUAAUUAGCGACAGUCGAGUGAGCCAGCAACGACAACAACAACAACAAGAAGAACGAUAGCAAACACACACGCCUACAAAAAAGGCCUGUGAUAUAAAAGUAAACACAAAGCAAAAAAAGCGAACAAAAAAAAAACAAAA